AAGAUGAAAAACCCCCGGGAAGCUCUCUUUGCCUUCCAGGUGUCCUGCAGCUGGUGCAGAAAACCAAUGUGGCCAAUCCUACACAGCUGCUGAAGAAACCUCCAUUGUAAAACAGCCACCAAGCCCAGCAGGGACCAAGUGACCAUCUGCAGCUCCCAGGUAAUUUAUGAACAAAAUACAGCAGAGGUCACUAAGGUUCUGGUCGGAGUUAUGGACACUGUUGGCUGCAGCCAUGAUUUGAAAGUUCAGGUGUGUACAGCUCUGAGACCACUCUGCCAGAACAUGGGGAGCAGCAUGUAUUGAGCUCAGGAAAAUUGAAGGAGAGACUGGAGACCUGUGCGUGUGUGGAUAUCUUUUAAUAUGAACUGAGUGUAGGCUGAGAAUUACAUUUCUGAUCAGCAUGGCAGAUUUCUUUUCCCUGUUCCUCACUGAGCCCACCCAGGAUCUAAGAAAGGAAUGACAGAGUAGUCCCUGAUAGACAGAAAACUCAGUGUUACCAGGUAUCAACCAGUUUCUGCUGAAUUGUGCCAGAAAAUAUGGUAAGUUUAUAAUAUUUUUAUUCUAAACAAUUCGCUACACUACAAUAACUUUUAAAUUCAUGUUUAUUAACGUACCCUCUCGUAGCCACUUAUCAGAAUUGUGUCAGAAUUUUGUAAAUGGAAGCCACACUCCCCCACACUCCCUGUAAAUAGUAUUAUUAACAUGUGUUUGUAGAAUCAGACUACCAAGAAUGAUCUUGGGUU